AGAGUUUGAUCCUGGCUCAGAACGAACGUUGGCGGCGUGGAUUAGGCAUGCAAGUCGUGGGCGAAAGGAGACUUCGGUUUCUGAUUAGACCGGCGUAAGGGGUAGUAAUGCGUGGGCAACCAACCCUUGGGAUGGGGAUAGCUACGGGAAACUGUAGGUAAUACCCAGCGAUGUUUUUUGAAGGCAUCUUCGAAAAACCAAAGGUGUGAUUCCGCCCGAGGACGGGCUCACGUGGCAUUAGCUUGUUGGUGAGGUAACGGCUCACCAAGGCCGCGAUGCCUAGGGGGUGUGAGAGCAUGGCCCCCACCACUGGGACUGAGACACUGCCCAGACACCUGCGGGUGGCUGCAGUCGAGAAUCUUCGGCAAUGGGCGCAAGCCUGACCGAGCGACGCCGCGUGGAGGAUGAAGGCCUUCGGGUUGUAAACUCCUGUCAGUGGGGAGGAAAUGCGGCAGGGCUAUCCCUGCCGUUUGACCUAUCCUCAGAGGAAGCACGGGCUAAGUUCGUGCCAGCAGCCGCGGUAAGACGAACCGUGCUAACGUUGUUCGGAAUCACUGGGCUUAAAGGGCGCGUAGGCGGUGUGUUAAGUCAAUGGUGAAAUCCUGCGGCUCAACCGUAGAACUGCCGUUGAUACUGGCACACUGGAGGGAGGUAGAGGUGUGUGGAACUUCCGGUGGAGCGGUGAAAUGCGUUGAUAUCGGAAGGAACGCCGGUGGCGAAAGCGGCACACUGGACCUCUUCUGACGCUGAGGCGCGAAAGCUAGGGGAGCGAACGGGAUUAGAUAC
rnacentral:rRNA from 1 species